rnacentral:rRNA from 1 species
AACGUACGCUGGCGGCACGCCUAACACAUGCAAGUCGAACGAAGUAGCAAUACUUAGUGGCAGACGGGUGAGUAACAUGUAGGUAUCUGCCCUUUGGCCUGGAAUAACACGAGGAAACUUGUGCUAAUACCGGAUAAGUCUUUACGGAGAAAGCUUUAUGCACCAUUGGAUGAGCCUGCACUUGAUUAGUUUGUUGGUGGGGUAAUGGCCUACCAAGACUGUGAUCAAUAGCUGAUUUGAGAGGAUGAUCAGCCACAUUGGGACUGAGACACGGCCCAAACUCCUACGGGAGGCAGCAGUGGGGAAUCUUGCACAAUGGAGGAAACUCUGAUGCAGCGAUGCCGCGUGAGUGAAGAAGGCCCUUGGGUUGUAAAGCUCUUUCGUCGGGGAAGAAAAUGACUGUACCCGAAUAAGAAGGUCCGGCUAACUUCGUGCCAGCAGCCGCGGUAAUACGAAGGGACCUAGCGUAGUUCGGAAUUACUGGGCUUAAAGAGUUCGUAGGUGGUUGAAAAAGUUAGUGGUGAAAUCCCAGAGCUUAACUCUGGAACUGCCAUUAAAACUUUUCAGCUAGAGUAUGAUAGAGGAAAGCAGAAUUUCUAGUGUAGAGGUGAAAUUCGUAGAUAUUAGAAAGAAUACCAAUUGCGAAGGCAGCUUUCUGGAUCAUUACUGACACUGAGGAACGAAAGCAUGGGUAGCGAAGAGGAUUAGAUACCCUCGUAGUCCAUGCCGUAAACGAUGUGUGUUAGACGUUGGAAAUUUAUUUUCAGUGUCGCAGGGAAACCGAUAAACACACCGCCUGGGGAGUACGACCGCAAGGUUAAAACUCAAAUGAAUUGACGGGGACCCGCACAAGUAGUGGAGCAUGUGGUUUAAUUCGAAGAUACGCGCAGAACCUUACCAACACUUGACAUGUUCGUCGCGACUCUAAGAGAUUGGAGUUUUCGGUUCGGCCGGACGAAACACAGGUGCUGCAUGGCUGUCGUCAGCUCGUGUCGUGAGAUGUUGGGUUAAGUCCCGCAACGAGCGCAACCCUCACUUUUAGUUGCCAUCAUUAAGUUGGGCACUCUGAAAGAACUGCCAGUGAUAAGCUGGAGGAAGGUGGGGAUGACGUCAAGUCCUCAUGGCCCUUACGUGUUGGGCUACACACGUGCUACAAUGGUAUCUACAACAGGAAGCAAGACUGCGAAGUUAAGCAAAUCCCUAAAAGAUACCUCAGUUCGGAUUGCACUCUGCAACUCGAGUGCAUGAAGCUGGAAUUACUAGUAAUCGUGGAUCAGCGUGCCACGGUGGAAUGCGUUCCCGGGUCU